GGGGGCGACCUGGUUUCGACGAGGGUUGCAAAGCGGAUGGGUGCAUACCGGGAUUUCAGUUACCCCGUAAAACGCUGAAAUUGUAAUAACCGCAAACGACAACGUUUACGCUCCGACAGCCCUAGCGGCCUAAGUCGGACUCUGCAGCGGCUCGCUGAUGGGCCGUGGAGGCAACUCCCGCAGAGUCAUCCUACAUCAGCUCGCCUUGCUUCGGGUUACUUGAUCCAGGGUUAAAUUAAGGUGACUCGCCUCAAACCAGCCUGCCCGUCGGCGGGGGAGAGGUUAAAUUCAAACGACACGGCUAAGUAUGUAGAUCUCACUGUAGAGGGCUUUCGGACGCGGGUUCGAUUCCCGCCGCCUCCACCA
rnacentral:tmRNA from 1 species